rnacentral:rRNA from 1 species
GUGAGGAAUAUUGGUCAAUGGACGGAAGUCUGAACCAGCCAAGUAGCGUGCAGGAUGACGGCCCUAUGGGUUGUAAACUGCUUUUAUGCGGGGGUAAAGUGAGUGACGUGUCAUUCAUUGCAAGUACCGCAAGAAUAAGGACCGGCUAAUUCCGUGCCAGCAGCCGCGGUAAUACGGAAGGUCCUGGUGUUAUCCGGAUUUAUUGGGUUUAAAGGGAGCGUAGGCCGUCAGGCAAGCGUGUUGUGAAAUGUCGUGGCUCAACCAUGGACUUGCAGCGCGAACUGCCCGACUUGAGUGCACAGAAAGCAGGCGGAAUUUGUGGUGUAGCGGUGAAAUGCUUAGAUAUCACGAAGAACCCCGAUUGCGAAGGCAGCCUGCUGUAGCGCUACUGACGCUGAAGCUCGAAAGUGCGGGUAUCGAACAGGAUUAGAAACCCUGGUAGUCC